UUUACAUGGAUAUUGAAAUAAUAAUAAAAAGUCAAAUGUCUUUAUUUUUGGUAGAUGCGAUUCCCAAGUAUUCUACAAUGUCGUUCGCUUCAAGGACUGACGGAUAAUUUUGAUAAUUGAGGCGUUUCUCGAAUUCAGAAAUUUCAGGAUAAGUUUUGGCACCCAAGCCACGACGUCUUCUUCUUUUUUUACGCACUGCGUUAAUAAUGAAUACAUAUGUAUAAAUAUAUGUAGCUCUAACAAGGGAAACUCACAAUAAUCUAUAUUAUAAGCUGGAAAUGUUUGUCUGCAACGGAAGUGAAAGUGGACAAAGUUUCACUUCUUUUGCUAACAGACAUUUCCAGCGAAUUAAGUAUAUACAAUAUAGAUACAAAAGAAUAACGAGGUGGAAUUAUGAACAAUCCCACUUAAUUUUCACGAAAACCAAAUUCGCUCUCGCACGAAAAAAUGAAUUUUUGAAAAUUUUUGAAAUUGAAUUUUUAUAUUUUCAGGGAUGUAAUUCUGAACACAAAUUGGGUUUAAUUUUUUAAAUCGGGCUAAAAUUCGAAAAUUUACAGCGUUUUUAAAAAUCCGAAUUUUGGCUGAAAUUUUUUUUGAAAAUUCCUCCACGGGCAUAAACAUCCCCAUUCAGCAAAAUGAAAAAAUACGGGUCCACUUAUUUUUGAGCGUGAACAAUUUAAAAUUAGUACGGUGGAUAUCGGCGAUAACCACGUCACACCAUCGCAUUGUGAGUGAAAUAUGCAGCAUACAUUGCCACACCUUGUUCUCCCAACACAGCAACAGCAUAUAUUUAACAGUGAACCUGUUGUACAUACAACACGCUAAAUAAAGUUGUGUACAACCGGUUGAGUAAAGUGGAAUUGGUUAAUUUUUCUACAACAUUGGUACAAAUUAUUCCAACCUAAGACUAAAAACUAAUCAACGGAGUUGUAUAAAUUGAUCUUUACCCAACGUUGUAAAUUUUGUAGUCAUUACUUGUGAAAAAUCGGUUUUCUACAUGUAUGACUAAUUUUUACUCAAUUAUUGGUUAGUUUUUUUUACAAAUAAUUGCAACAAAUAAACCAACGUAAAAGUUGAAAAACUCGCUACAAUAAAGAAUAAAUUUUAUACAUAAGUUGAGGAAAUUUUACUCAACACUUGUAUCAAAAUUAACAAACCAGUUGUGUGGUCUUGGAUGACGCUUCCCGCGAGCACAAAAAUUCUUCAGUUCUUCUUGCCACCUCGCCGCUCUAGUUAGGUGGAGAUUUUUGUUCCUGCAAAUUAGUUAAAAAUUUCUAGAAAUGACGAAAUUUUUGGAAUCAAUUCUCCAGACAGUUGGACUGGAAGUAUUAUUGGAAACUUUUAAAGAUAAUGAUUUUGACGACGAACUUCUUCGUCAAAUUCCCGACUGCCCUGCUGGUUCACUUGAGGAACAUCUGUUUGCCACGCUGGUCCCGUCAAUAGGAAACAGACUAAAAAUAAUUGGUGCAAUUAGGAAGGUUAGUGUAGUUAAGGAAGAAAAUGUGUAUAUAUGUAGCUUGUGUCAUCGUUCCUUAAAUUCUUUCAAAUCUUUUUGGAAUCAUAUCAGGGAUUUUCACGAGAUAACAGGGCCUUCAGCCAGAAUAGAUUGUCCCUUGUGUUUAAUGACCUUCACAAAUAUUAACAAUCUUAGAAAACACGUGCAAGCCAAAAUAUGCCCAAAAUUACUUUCACAAUUUAGUUUUCCAAAAAUAACAAAUAACCUUAAUGAUGAGAAUAUUUUGUCUCAAGAAAGUUUUUUUAGUCAUGAUUAUUCUGCCAAAAUAAUUAAUGAAGUGACAAAUGAUUAUAAAUUGUCAUUUAUGAGGUCACUUCAAAUGUCUGGAUCAAUUCCCCUAGUAAAAUCUGGGGAAAUUCUUUGUGCUGCAAAUUCUUUGGUUAAUAGCAUUGUUGAUAUUGCUAAGACUUUCCUACAACCAAAUCUUUCCCACGAUGAAAUUAUUAUCAAAUUAAACUCUUUAAAGGAACCAUUUCCGAAACAAACUUCAUCUCAAUAUCAAAUUGAAAAAUAUUUAGAGAAAACAAAAAUAUUUAUAGAAGCACAGGAACUACGACUUGGUUCGCAUUUCAAAUUCGACAAUUCAGUAGGAGCGAUGCGUGAGAAAUUUGACAAUAUGUACUACUUCCGGAUAUCUGAUAUUCUUCCCGUAGCCCUUAAAAAAUAUAGAGAGGUCACUGAUGCCGGAGGACGUCUGAAUCAGGAUAAAAAUAUUAUACGGGAUUAUCAGUCAGGGGAAUUUGUCAGUAGUUUUACAGGAAAUCCUCUUUUUAUCCAAAUUUACUAUGACGAUAUUGAAAUCUGCAAUCCAUUGGGUGCAAAAGCUAAAAUCCACAAAUUAGGAAUGUUUUACUUCAUAAUUUCGAAUUUUGCUCCUCAUUUAAAGUCACAGCUUUCCGCAAUAUUCCCACUAUUAAUUGUUAAAUCCAAAUAUAUAAAAUCAUAUGGGAUGAAUUCCAUUCUUGCACCAAUUGUAAAUGAGCUUAAUAAAUUAAACAAAAGUAUGCCUAAAUCCGAGGAAUUUGAAAACUCACCCUUUAGCAAUGUCCAAUUACUUCAAGUUUGUGGUGAUAAUCUAGCGCUUCAUGCAAUCCUUGGAUUUUCUGAAAGUUUCAACGCCAAUUUCCGUUGCCGUUUUUGCAAAGCAACCAAAUCACAGAGCUACGUUGAUGUGGAGGAGCGAAAAGAGUUGAUUCGAAAUAGAUUGGGAUACUCUGAAGAUGUUGAGGUUCAAAACGUUAGUCUCACUGGCAUAAAAGAACUAUCCAUAAUUAAUCAGAUUGCUGGAUUUCACGUUACUUCUAACUUUGCCCCCGAUAUUAUGCACGACAUAUUUGAAGGAAUUUGUAUAAUUGAAUUAAAGCUGGUCCUCGAACAUAUUUUACAGAAUAAUUAUUUUUCGCUAGUUGAAAUUAAUCAUAGAUUGUCAUGUUGCUUGAAGAGAAAUGGUCAUCAUUUAACAAAAUUUCCCGAAAUAGGCUCAAAUAUUAUUGACGGCGACAAAAAGUCUUGUUUUUCUGCGUCAGAAAUGAGUAAUUUCUUUCUCGUCUUUCCUGCAGUUUUUGGUGACCGAAUUCCAUCCGACGAUAAAUAUUGGAACUUAAUACUUAAAUUUCGGAGAAUAAUACGCAUCGUGAUGGCUCCAGUCAUAACACGAUCAAAAUUAUUACUUCUUCAGUUCUUAAUAGCAGAGCAUCAUCAGAUGUAUAUUGAUUUAACGGGGAAUAAUUUAACUCCAAAAUUUCAUCACUUAUUGCAUUAUCCAAACGCAAUUAAUCAGUUAGGCCCACUCAGAAAUUACUGGUGUAUGAGAUUCGAAGCCAAGCACAGAUUUGCUAAAACGGUUGGUAAAAACUCGUGCAACUUCAAGAAUAUUUCCAAAAGUGUCGCAAGGCGAAUGUCCCUAAAUAUGGCGUUUUCACUUGGUUCCAUUAACAUUGAGCCAAAAGUUCAACUUAGUAUUGGACCCGGCAAUACAUUUGACAUUAGGGACAUCAAAGAUGAUGUAGAUUUUUCCACCAUAUCGUCAGCUCAGUGUAAUAAAAUAUUUUGCCUUGAUUUUGUUCAAAUAAAUGGUACAAAGAUUUCUCCACUAAACUAUUUUCUUAUUGGAAGUUCUGAGUCGGGGCUGCAAUUUUGUCAGGUGAUUUUGUGUUUUGUUCAUGAUGAGAGUGUAAAAUUAGCCGUUGCUCGUAUUCAAUAUGUUGAAAAAUUUCAAUAUUCAUACAUUUUCAAAGUAGGAAAAAAAGACAAGGCUGAAAUACUUGACCCCUUACAACUUGACCUUCAAAAUCCAUUGGUAGUGGUAAGGUCGUUCGAUGAGUGUGAUUCGGUGGAUAAUAUUUGUUGUCCUAUUGAGUUAAUUUAGUUAUAAGCUUAUAAUAAUAAUUCCCUUCUUUAUCGUGAUGCUCUCAAUAAUUAAUUAUAUAGCGAACCAAUUCGAAAUCUGUGACGUCCAGCGUGCAACAGAUUUCCGACGGUGACCAGUCAAGCCAGGAGGAUAAUAUUGUUCAGUACUUAGUGGUAACUCCGCCCACCGCUACGCCACCUCGCCAAGAGGAAAACAUAUUUGUGGAUG